GAUGAACGCUGGCGGCGUGCCUAAUACAUGCAAGUCGAGCGAACGGACGAGAAGCUUGCUUCUCUGAUGUUAGCGGCGGACGGGUGAGUAACACGUGGAUAACCUACCUAUAAGACUGGGAUAACUUCGGGAAACCGGAGCUAAUACCGGAUAAUAUUUUGAACCGCAUGGUUCAAAAGUGAAAGACGGUCUUGCUGUCACUGAUAGAUGGAUCCGCGCUGCAUUGGCUAGUUGGUAAGGUAACGGCUUACCAAGGCAACGAUGCAUAGCCGACCGGAGAGGGUGAUCGGCCACACUGGAGCUGAGACACGGUCCAGACUCCUACGGGAGGCAGCAGUAGGGAAUCUUCCGCAAUGGGCGAAAGCCUGACGGAGCAACGCCGCGUGAGUGAUGAAGGUCUUCGGAUCGUAAAACUCUGUUAUUAGGGAAGAACAUAUGUGUAAGUAACUGUGCACAUCUUGACGGUACCUAAUCAGAAAGCCACGGCUAACUACGUG
rnacentral:rRNA from 1 species